rnacentral:rRNA from 1 species
UAACACGUAUCCAACCUGCCGAUGACUCGGGGAUAGCCUUUCGAAAGAAAGAUUAAUACCCGAUGGCAUAAUUCUUCCGCAUGGUAGAACUAUUAAAGAAUUUCGGUCAUCGAUGGGGAUGCGUUCCAUUAGGUUGUUGGCGGGGUAACGGCCCACCAAGCCUUCGAUGGAUAGGGGUUCUGAGAGGAAGGUCCCCCACAUUGGAACUGAGACACGGUCCAAACUCCUACGGGAGGCAGCAGUGAGGAAUAUUGGUCAAUGGACGAGAGUCUGAACCAGCCAAGUAGCGUGAAGGAUGACUGCCCUAUGGGUUGUAAACUUCUUUUAUACGGGAAUAAAGCGAGGCACGUGUGCCUUUUUGUAUGUACCGUAUGAAUAAGGAUCGGCUAACUCCGUGCCAGCAGCCGCGGUAAUACGGAGGAUCCGAGCGUUAUCCGGAUUUAUUGGGUUUAAAGGGAGCGUAGGCGGACGCUUAAGUCAGUUGUGAAAGUUUGCGGCUCAACCGUAAAAUUGCAGUUGAUACUGGGUGUCUUGAGUACAGUAGAGGCAGGCGGAAUUCGUGGUGUAGCGGUGAAAUGCUUAGAUAUCACGAAGAACUCCGAUUGCGAAGGCAGCCCGCUGGACUGUAACUGACGCUGAUGCUCGAAAGUGUGGGUAUCAAACAGGAUUAGAUACCCUGGUAGUCCACACAGUAAACGAUGAAUACUCGCUGU